GGCACAUCUCGAGCCCCACGCCCUGCCAUCACGCACACAAGGCUCCUCUCCCCACACUUUCGAUCUCUUCUCCCACCGUCCCACGGCGGCGGCGCUCCACUACACGUCCGCAUCCUCCCCUUCUUCUCGUCGACGUCGUUAGGUCAUGGGUGAGGAGACGACAUCCAAGAGCCAUGGCAGUGUGUGCAGACGGGGCUGCUGCGCCAGCGCUCUGCAUUUGGUGAAGGGGUGGCGUCGUGGAGCAUCGCGGAAGAAGACGCUGAGAUCAUCGUACGCGGGAGGAGCCGAAGCGGUUGGAGGCGAAGCAGAUCGCCUCGCUGGGCGGCCAGGAAAGGUGGAGUGGCUCGCCGACUCGGCUUCUGAAAAUAAGAGAUCGUCCUCACAGGUGCAGGCGGACGAGUGGAGGCGCCCGGAUGAGGCUACAGAGGACGUCGAAUUCCAAGCGCCGACGCCGCUACCGCCGCCUUAUUCUGCUGCUACCCUGAUGUAGUAUUUCCUUUUUUACUUCAUCGCUUCCACAUCGUAUGUAUGUCCCUUAGAAGGAGGAGAAAAUAUUUUACAGGGGAACACAAGAUACAUGGAGAAGGAUGCACCGCUGCUAGGAAGGUAUGAAUUCUACAUCAAGUGUAUUGACGAGGGACAAUUUAUGCUGUUUGGAGAGAUUGGAGAAGCACUUGUCAGUAAACAGGUAGGCCUUUACAUACUGCUGAAUCAUCUUGUAGUGCAGAUUUAGGAUGCAAAUCAGAAUGGCAAUGUUCCCUUUUUGUGUUUCACAUAUCUUUUAUACUACACAUUUGGGUUGCAGAUUCAAUGACAUAUCUGUGGAUAUUUACACCGAUCGACAAUCUAUGGUUCUCUAUGUGGAAUUUUUAGAUAGGUGUGAAGCAAAUGUGUUGAUUCAGGCUCUGACCUGCAUUUUGGUGGUUGCUUCCAUGACUAAUCCAGUGCAAUUUCUUAUAUACUGUAUUCCCUCUGCCCGACUACAAAAAAAUAUAGCCAUUCAUUCAUGUACACUGAGUCUAAUAGCGACUACCCAGCAAGGGUCAAUUUAUUUUGUUCCACACUGACCUUGCAAGUUAAGAACGUAGCUGAGAGUGCAUUGGCUCAAUGAAAUAGAUAUGGUGCAUGUUUACUCAAGAUUUUAAUCAUCCCGAAUUCCUUGCACUACAAUAUGCAAUGGUUAAAGCAAGACAAGUGAUGGUCUACACUUCUUGGCAGAGUUAGUAUCAUACUGGUUGCUCUAAUUUCGUUGCUUUAUUCUUUGGCUUUACUGAACUUAUUUUGUUCUCCUUUGUAGUAGCAUGAUUGGCGGCUAGAAAGAAAAUGCGCUUAAGUUAUGGUGUCUGUCGUAAGUUAUAAUAUUUUAGAGAUUGAACAACACCUGCUUCAUGUUUGUAUAGAAUGAGGACAGCAUACUUUGCAUAAAUAGGUGUAAUUUAUUACCGCUUUAGUUGGUCAGCAUUUUUUGUCUCUCCAUUGAAAGAACCCAGUGUUUCAGUUAAUAAUAGGACAUAGCCAUAUUAAUUUUUUUUAUAACAUUCAGAUUCACUAAACAAGGUUUUUUUUGUGUCGUAUUAAAAACUAGAUUAAAGAUUAGGUUAUAGAGCUUCGUGUGUCAGCUUUGUGUGUUAGGCCCAACAAUAGAACCAUUUGUUUCUCCUGCCCAAGUUUUUUAAAAUUAUUAUUACGGAAUUACUUACAAUGUCAUUCUACCAAUUGCGUAGAAAGAUGGACUUGCCUGAUAUACUGCGCAUUUUUAUGUGUAGGUGCUCUCAGAGUGUAAAGAAUUCAUGUUGAUGCAUUUAGUCCAGCAUGCAUGUCACACUCAUGGUCUUUCUUCUUACAAGUGCUUCUGGACUGCUGGUCACCGUACAUAUGCAGCUUACUGCUUUGGCAGCGACAAGAACCGUCGCUUCAAGGUUUGAGUUCUGACCUUAGACUGGCUAUUUGAAUAUUCGCUCUUCACUUAAAUCAACGCCACAAGACUCAGGCAUUUCAUUUUGUUUAUAGUCUAUAGAAGGCAUGUGAUGUGCAAAACAGGAUAUAAAUCCAGAACUGCUCAAGCCCUCAUCGUUUUAUGCCCAAAGCAAUGGAUGAUGAGAAGAAUGUUCGGAUAUUUGGAGCCACAAGGCCUAUGAAUCAACAAUAUUGGAGGAGAGCACUCCCAAGAAUACAUGGCUUUGUAGAGUCAUGAUACUACUACCUCGGGUCUACUUUAAUUGACGCGCGCACAUGCAUAAAUCCUCUGCUAGCUAGCUUUCCUCCGCGUCAAUUAUAUCCGGAUGGAGGGAGUAUCAAUUAAGAAAGACUAUUUAUCUAA